GGUGAACGCUGGCGGUGUGCCUAAUACAUGUAAGUCGAACGGCCACACGGUGAGCUCGCUCCUUUGACGUUGGCGACGGACGGACGGGUGACACAUGGAUCACCAUCCUAUUUUACUUGGGGAAUUUCGUAGAGCAGCUGAUAAUACUACCGAAUACGACCUACGGCUGAAAGCAGGGGAUCUUCGCACCUUUCGCGAUUGAUUGAGCCGAUGUCGGAUUAGCUAGUUGGCGGGGUAAAGGCCCACCAAGGCGACGAUCCGUAGCCGGUCUGAGAGGAUGAUCGGCCACACUGGAACUGAGACACGGUCCAGACUCCUACGGGAGGCAGCAGUGGGGAAUCUUCCGCAAUGGGCGAAAGCUUGACGCAGCAAUGCCGCGUGAGUGAAGAAGGUCUUCGGAUCGUAAAGCUCUGUUAUUGGGAAAGAACAAAUGUAUAAUAAACUCCGGCCGUCUUGACGGUACCUAAAGAGAAAGCCACGGCUAACUUCGUG
rnacentral:rRNA from 1 species